CGUUAUAGGCCAUCACGAUUGGGGUCAGGAUAAAAGCACCGGUGCCCGACGCUGUCCAAUGUGUUUAGAGGUAGGACCUGUUGUGACAUUGUGUAUGGGCCUCGAACCGGCAUUCUAUGUAGAUAUUGGCCCGCCAACAUUUGCAUUUAAUCCAUGUGGUCACAUGGCGACUGAGAAAACGGUUAAAUAUUGGGUCAAUGUGGAUAUACCACAUGGUACAAAUGCUUUUCAACCUGUUUGUCCAUUCUGUGCGACGCCAUUAGACGCCAAUUCGGGUUAUAUUAAAUUAAUUUUUCAAGAUAAUUUAGAUUAAAGAUGUGUAUUAUAUAAAUAUAUAUUAUUAUUAUUAAAUAUUAAACAAAAAAACAGAAAA